GAUGAAGAACGUAGCGAAAUGCGAUAAGUAAUGUGAAUUGCAGAAUCCAGUGAAUCAUCGAAUCUUUGAACGCACAUUGCGCCCGCCAGCAUUCUGGCGGGCAUGCCUGUUCGAGCGUCAUUUCAACCCUCGACCUCCCUUUGGGGAAGUCGGCGUUGGGGACCGGCAGCACACCGCCGGCCCUGAAAUGGAGUGGCGGCCCGUCCGCGGCGACCUCUGCGUAGUAAACCAACUCGCACCGGAACCCCGACGUGGCCACGCCGUAAAACACCCAACUUCUGAACGUUGACCUCGUAUCAGGUAGGACUACCCGCUGAACUUAAGCAUAUCAAUAAGCGGAGGA
rnacentral:misc_RNA from 1 species